rnacentral:rRNA from 1 species
AGAGUUUGAUCCUGGCUCAGAAUCAACGCUGGCGGCGCGCCUAACACAUGCAAGUCGCACGAGAAAGUGGAGCAAUCCAUGAGUACAGUGGCGUACGGGUGAGUAACACGUGGAUCAUCUGCCUGGAGUGGGGAAUAACGCUGGGAAACCGGCGCUAAUACCGCAUAUUCCCGAGAGGGGAAAGCAGCAAUGCGCUCGAG